rnacentral:rRNA from 1 species
AGCGAACGCUGGCGGCAGGCCUAACACAUGCACGUCGAACGAAGUCUUCGGACUUAGUGGCGGACGGGUGAGUAACACGUGGGAACGUGCCUUUAGGUUCGGAAUAACUCAGGGAAACUUGUGCUAAUACCGAAUGUGCCUUUUGGGGGAAAGAUUUAUCGCCUUUAGAGCGGCCCGCGUCUGAGUAGCUAGUUGGUGAGGUAAAGGCUCACCAAGGCGACGAUCAGUAGCUGGUCUGAGAGGAUGAUCAGCCACAUUGGGACUGAGACACGGCCCAAAAUCCUACGGGAGGCAGCAGUGGGGAAUCUUGCGCAAUGGGCGAAAGCCUGACGCAGCCAUGCCGCGUGAAUGAUGAAGGUCUUAGGAUUGUAAAAUUCUUUCACCGGGGACGAUAAUGACGGUACCCGGAGAAGAAGCCCCGGCUAACUUCGUGCCAGCCGCCGCAGUAAAAC